rfam:Ciona savignyi cont_27665, whole genome shotgun sequence.
GUCUCUGUGGCGCAAUGGAGUUAGCGCGCUGGACUUCUAAUCCAGAGGUUCCGAGUUCGAGUCCCGGCAGGGAUG